UACGGGGGGGGCAAGCGUUGUUCGGAAUUACUGGGCGUAAAGGGCUCGUAGGCGGCCAACUAAGUCAGACGUGAAAUCCCUCGGCUUAACCGGGGAACUGCGUCUGAUACUGGAUGGCUUGAGGUUGGGAGAGGGAUGCGGAAUUCCAGGUGUAGCGGUGAAAUGCGUAGAUAUCUGGAAGAACACCCGUGGCGAAGGCGGCUCUCUGGGACGGUACUGACGCUGAGACGCGAAAGCGUGGGGAGCGAACAGG
rnacentral:rRNA from 1 species